rnacentral:rRNA from 1 species
GAUGAACGCUGGCGGCAUGCCUUACACAUGCAAGUCGAACGGCAGCACGGGGGCAACCCUGGUGGCGAGUGGCGAACGGGUGAGUAAUACAUCGGAACGUACCCGGAAGUGGGGGAUAACGUAGCGAAAGUUACGCUAAUACCGCAUAUUCUGUGAGCAGGAAAGAGGGGGAUCGCAAGACCUCUCGCUUUCGGAGCGGCCGAUGUCGGAUUAGCUAGUUGGUGGGGUAACAGACUACCAAGGCGACGAUCCGUAGCUGGUCUUAGGGGAUGAUCGGCCACACUGGGACUGAGACACGGCCCAGACUCCUACGGGAGGCAGCAGUGGGGAAGUUUGGACAAUGGGGGCAACCCUGAUCCAGCCAUGGCGAGUGAGUGAAGAAGGCCUUCGGGUUGUAAAGCUCUUUCGGACAGAAAGAAAUCGCACAGGAUAAUACCUUGUGUGGAUGACGGUACUGUCAUAAGAAGCACCGGCUAACUACGUGCCAGCAGCCGCCGUAAUAC